UACGGAGGGAGCUAGCGUUGUUCGGAAUUACUGGGCGUAAAGCGCGCGUAGGCGGCUUUGUAAGUUAGAGGUGAAAGCCCGGGGCUCAACCCCGGAAUUGCCUUUAAGACUGCAUCGCUUGAAUCCGGGAGAGGUGAGUGGAAUUCCGAGUGUAGAGGUGAAAUUCGUAGAUAUUCGGAAGAACACCAGUGGCGAAGGCGACUCACUGGACACAUAUUGACGCUGAGGUGCGAAAGCGUGGGGAGCAAACAGG
rnacentral:rRNA from 1 species